rnacentral:tRNA from 2 species
GCCCUCGUAUCCCAAUUGGCAGAGGAAACGGAUUCAAAACCCGUCCAGUGUGAGUUCGAGUCUCACCGAGGGCACC